GAAGAUAUAGCUCAGUGGUAGAAUGCCUGCCUGGCAUGCACAAGGUCCUGGGUUCAAUCCCCAGUACCUCUA
rnacentral:tRNA from 1 species